rnacentral:rRNA from 2 species
GGAGGUAGUGACAAUAAAUCACAAUGCGGAACAAUGUUUUGCAAUUGGAUUGAGAACAACGUACAAACCUUAUCGAUAAACAAUUGGAGGGCAAGUCUGGUGCCAGCAGCCGCGGUAAUUCCAGCUCCAAUAGCGUAUAUUAACGUUGUUGCAGUUAAAAAGCUCGUAGUUGAAAUGAAGGGUAGUUGUGUAAUGAAUACAUUCGUGUAUUUUGUUAUUCUACUACCCUCCUUCUAAAUUCGAUAUAUGAGUAUUAAUUUACUUGUAUAUGGUUUUAGACCUUUACUGUGAGAAAAUUAGAGUGUUCAAAGCAGGCAUUUGCUUGAAUAUAUUAGCAUGGAAUAAUCAUGUAUGAUUUUCAUGAUGUAUUUGAUUGGUUUGGUUCAUGAGAAUAAGAUUAAAAGGGACAGUUGGGGGUAUUCAUAUUCAAUAGUCAGAGGUGAAAUUCUCGGAUUUAUGGAAGAUGAACAAGUGCGAAAGCA